rnacentral:tRNA from 1 species
AUUAAAGUGGCAGAUAGAUAUGCAAGGAAUUUAAGCUUCCUAGAUGAAUAUUCCUUUAAUA